UAGAGAGGUGCUUGCACCUCUUGAGAGCGGCGGACGGGUGAGUAAUGCCUAGGAAUCUGCCUGGUAGUGGGGGAUAACGCUCGGAAACGGACGCUAAUACCGCAUACGUCCUACGGGAGAAAGCAGGGGACCUUCGGGCCUUGCGCUAUCAGAUGAGCCUAGGUCGGAUUAGCUAGUUGGUGGGGUAAUGGCUCACCAAGGCGACGAUCCGUAACUGGUCUGAGAGGAUGAUCAGUCACACUGGAACUGAGACACGGUCCAGACUCCUACGGGAGGCAGCAGUGGGGAAUAUUGGACAAUGGGCGAAAGCCUGAUCCAGCCAUGCCGCGUGUGUGAAGAAGGUCUUCGGAUUGUAAAGCACUUUAAGUUGGGAGGAAGGGCAUUAACCUAAUACGUUAGU
rnacentral:rRNA from 1 species